rnacentral:rRNA from 1 species
CCCUUAGAUGUUCUGGACCGCACGCGCGCUACACUGAAGGGAUCAGCGUGUUUUCCCUUUCCGAGAGGAACGGGUAACCCGCUGAACCCCCUUCGUGGUAGGGAUCGGAGCUUGCAAUUGUUCUCCGUGAACCAGGAAUUCCCAGUAAGCGCAAGUCAUAAGCUUGCGUUGAUUACGUCCCUGCCCUUUGUACACACCGCCCGUCGCUACUACCGAUUGAACGUUUUAGUGAGGUAUUUGGACUGGGCCUUGGGAGGUUUCGGCCUCCCUUGUUGCUCGGAAAGACUCCCAAACUUGAGCGUUUAGAGGAAGUAAAAGUCGUAACA